rnacentral:rRNA from 1 species
CCUACGGGUGGCAGCAGUCGAGAAUCAUUCACAAUGGGGGAAACCCUGAUGGUGCGACGCCGCGUGGGGGAAUGAAGGUCUUCGGAUUGUAAACCCCUGUCAUGUGGGAGCAAAUUAAAAAGAUAGUACCACAAGAGGAAGAGACGGCUAACUCUGUGCCAGCAGCCGCGGUAAUACAGAGGUCUCAAGCGUUGUUCGGAAUCACUGGGCGUAAAGCGUGCGUAGGCUGUUGCGUAAGUCGUGUGUGAAAGGCGCGGGCUCAACCCGCGGACGGCACAUGAUACUGGGAGACUAGAGUAAGGGAGGGGGAAGCGGAAUUCUCGGUGUAGCAGUGAAAUGCGUAGAUAUCGAGAGGAACACUCGUGGCGAAGGCGGGUUCCUGGACAUUAACUGACGCUGAGGCACGAAGGCCAGGGGAGCGAAAGGGAUUAGAUACCCGAGUAGUC